ensembl:lncRNA
CUAAAGGGCCCUACAUGGUCUAAAGGGCCCUCCCUACAUGGUCAAAGGCCCUACAUGGUCUAAAGGGCCCUACAUGUCUAAAGGCCCCCUACCUGGUCUAAAGGGCCCUACAUGGUCUAAAGGGCCCUCCCUACAUGGUCUAAAGGGCCCUGCAGGUCUAAAAGGCCCUCCCUACAUGGUCUAAAGGGCCCUACAUGGUCUAAAGGGCCCUCCCUACAUGGUCUGUGGGGAGAUAUACAUUAGAAUAUCUGUGUCCAAAAUGGCACACUAUUCCUACAUAGUGCACUACUUUUGAGAGAGGAGAGAGAGAGAGAGAGAGAGAGAGAGAGAGAGAGAGAGAGAGAGAGAGAGAGAGAGAAAAGAGAGAAAGAGAGAGUGAGAGAAAGAGAGGAGAGAGAGAGAGAGAGAGAGAGACAGAGACAGAGAGACAGAGAGGAGGUGUAAUACUGUGUAACUACUGUGUAACUACUGUCUCCUUGUACAGUGUGAGUUGGAUGUGUUGUUACAUGUGUCUCCCUCUGAUCUCCUCUGCAACUACCUGCCAGCAACAGCGGUUUGAAUGUUUACUUCAAAAUGUUGCUUGACUGGUGGUUAAAGCUAUUGCUGGCCAAAAUUAGGCUACAUGAAAAGCCACUACUGUUAAUAUAACCGGUUUUAUAACAGGUUUUCAGUGAAUUUAUGUCAAUCAUGAAGCUCAUCUGCAUGUCCUGCGGUGCAGAAAAAUCUCAUCAACAAAAGAGUGAUCAAAUUAAGAUCCUACCAUUUCUACCUGGCAGUGUGUUUGGUUCUGCCAGCACUUUGAGAGGGUUUACAAGGGAGUGCGUAUUGUUUGGUAACAAGGGAGUGCGUAUUGUUUUGGUUAACAAGGGAGUGCAUAUUGUUUUGGUUAACAAGGGAGUGCGUAUUGUUUUGGUUUACAAGGGAGUGAGUAUUGUUUUGGUUUACAAGGGAGUGAUAUUGUUUUGGUUAACAAGGGAGUGCAUAUGUUUUGGUUAACAAGGGAGUGCAUAUUUUUUUUGGUUUUACAACAGGAUACGUAUUGUUUUGGUACAGCCGCUAAUAGACUUCCAGCGCAUUGGAUUCAACGUGACUGACGGAGAGUACUUUCAUUAUGUAAUGUCUGUGUGUCAAGCCAAGCCGGGACCAUGUGACAGUCUUGUAUUGCCUAGAAGGCUAUGGCCGUGAGAUACCCGUGGAAUUAGAAUACUUAGAGCAGUGGCCUCAGGCAUUGGUUACCUAUAGCCAAUCAGCAUGUACGAUCAGAGAGUAUCAGUGCGUGUGGUGUAACCAAGGUGAUCGAAUUUCAUGCUGACCCCUUCUUGAAACACACCAUCCAGGGCCAGGAACAAUGGCCAACAUGCGCCACACAACACACACACACACACCCACACACACCACCACACACACACACACACACACACACACACACACACACACACACACACACACACACACACACACACACAUACAAUAUACAUACAUACAUACCUACAUAUUCAACAACACACACACACACACACACACACACACACACACACACACACACACACACACACACACACACACACACACACACACACACUACACAGACAGAUGUCCAAGGCUGUAUAUGUAAUGUCAACAGUACUGUAGUUGUUGUUGAGCUUGUUGUUGACUUGUCCAUUCACUCUGAAGCUCUAAAACAACCUGUUGGUUGAUUGGUCAACACGACAUUUACAAACCUCCACAUUUUAGAGUUAGUUUUUGCAUGAACAGGGUGUGUAAAGUAAGCACAACUAAGAUGAUCUAGGUUUUAGGACAAACAAGUCAAUUGAAUGGACAUUGUAUGAUUUGAAUGGACAUUGCUAAGAUUUGAGGAACAGAGAGAGUAGCUUUAAAUUCAUGCCUUUGGGCAGGAAUGACAAAUCAUCUCGUUCAAUGUCGUUAUGUCCUAUACUGCAACGCGUCUUAGUUCCUCGACAGCUUGUAAAACCUUGCAGAAGGCAGCAUGUUUCAAUGUGCAAAUCAGAACACUUACCUUACAAAACAAAUGUCUUCUUCUAAAUGUGUGGCUCAGAGAGCAGAGGACAAAAGGYGAGGUCUGAAUCCACAGAGCAGGAAACUGAGUCUACACACUGGGGACCAGUUUAGCAUAUUCAUUCAGUUCAGUCAUUACUUUAUUACUCUUUAGGCCAUCCAG